CCUUGAUCCAACCCAUCCCGCGUGAGUGAAAGAAGCCCCUCGGGUUUGUAAAGCUCUUUUGUCCGGAAAGAAAAGCAUCGGGUUAAUACCUCGGUGUUCUGACGGUACCGGAAGAAUAAGCACCGGCUAACUUCGUGCCACCACCCGCGGUAAUACGAAGGGUGCAAGCGUUACUCGAAUUACUGGGCGUAAAGCGUGCGUAGGUGGUUCGUUAAGUCCGAUGUGAAAGCCCUGGGCUCAACCUGGGAAUGGCAUUGGAUACUGCCGGGCUAGAGUGCGGUAGAGGAUAGUGGAAUUCCUGGUGUAGCAGUGAAAUGCGUAGAGAUCAGGAGGAACAUCCGUGGCGAAGGCGACUGUCUGGACCAGCACUGACACUGAGGCACGAAAGCGUGGGGAGCAAACAGGAUUAGAUACCCUGGUAGUCCACGCCCUAAACGAUGCGAACUGGAUGUUGGGCUCAACUUGGAGCUCAGUAUCGAAGCUAACGCGUUAAGUUCGCCGCCUGGGGAGUACGGUCGCAAGACUGAAACUCAAAGGAAUUGACGGGGGCCCGCACAAGCGGUGGAGUAUGUGGUUUAAUUCGAUGCAACGCGAAGAACCUUACCUGGCCUUGACAUGCACGGAACUUUCCAGAGAUGGAUUGUUGCUUCGGGAACCAUGACACAGGUGUAAAGGG
rnacentral:rRNA from 1 species